GUGGGGAAUAUUGGACAAUGGGCGAAAGCCUGAUCCAGCCAUGCCGCGUGUGUGAAGAAGGUCUUCGGAUUGUAAAGCACUUUAAGUUGGGAGGAAGGGCAGUAAGUUAAUACCUUGCUGUUUUGACGUUACCGACAGAAUAAGCACCGGCUAACUUCGUGCCAGCAGCCGCGGUAAUACGAAGGGUGCAAGCGUUAAUCGGAAUUACUGGGCGUAAAGCGCGCGUAGGUGGUUUUGUAAGUUGGAGGUGAAAUCCCCGGGCUCAACCUGGGAACUGCCUCCAAAACUGCAUGACUAGAGUACGGUAGAGGGUAGUGGAAUUUCCUGUGUAGCGGUGAAAUGCGUAGAUAUAGGAAGGAACACCAGUGGCGAAGGCGACUACCUGGACUGAUACUGAUACUGAGGUGCGAAAGCGUGGGGAGCAAACAGGAUUAGAAACCCCGGUAGUCC
rnacentral:rRNA from 1 species